UUUCGACACCAGCUUCACGUUCUGGGACUUAUAGACAGCCAGCCCAAAGCAAGAUCUUUAGAGCUCCUAUGGCUGAUGAUAGUUGCUUCUAUGUGUAGCAAUGUCAUGAAAUUUUUGGGCGUUGAAUAGUUUGCAUUGCAGAUAGCAUCUGAGCGGCUCAGGGGUUCUUCAUAACUGUUCACAGUACUGCAGAUUCAAUUAAAGUAAUUCAAUAACACCCAAGGACUUCAUGAAUCAAGCAGCCAAUGACUAUAUAUAAGUUACUAAACAGAGUGCAAUUGUGCAAGUGGCGGGUCAUCAGUUUAUAUCAAGGCAGCAUUCAUAUCAGGAUCAGCCAAUCCUAAAAAGACGUCCAAACAUAAACAAGGAUGCAUAUCCCUUGCAGCAAGUACAGAUGCAAAAGGAAUGCAUGAAGUCAUGGCUCAAAACUGAGCUCCUAACAUAUACCGCAAGUGUAUAUCGAACCGUUCUAAUGCCACAAAUACGGUAAGAAAUCUGAAAUUAACAAACCAGAUUAAAACCAGGACAAUUGUAGUCUUCAAAGAAAAAAGAAAGAAAACAGGAUAAUUGUGUAAUGCUCAGUCUGUGCCAGAGGAGACUCCACUUCCAUCACCCCCUUCUUCUUCUUGUCUUCAGCUGCAGCAUCCAUCAUAGACUGGUCUGUAACCUCACCAACGUGAAGAACUAGUCCAACAGAGUUAGGCUCCACGGCUGUUAAAGGUCUGUCCUCGGUCUCAGGCACAAUGCCAGUCUCAUCCUGAAGCAAGAUUGAAACAUAGGUAUUCAUCUUUCAACAACAUACAUAAGAAUUUCAUACAAUUAAUCUUAACUACGUUUAUUUUACGAAGGAAACAGUCUCUUUACUAUUUUGUUUUGGCUAAUUAUUUUGUCGUGGACCUUCACUUUGGUUGAAGAGAGGGCGAUCCGCUAGAAAAUGAAAUAUUUUGUUUUGUUGAUCAAAUUAUAUAUGCAUUGCAUCCAUGUCAAACGGAAAA